CGGACGGGAUAACCGCUGAAAGCAUCUAAGCGGGAAACCCUCCCCAAGAUUAGAUUUCCCCAGGGACUUGAUCCCUCUGAAGGGCCCUCGAAGACUACGAGGUUGAUAGGUCGGGUGUGUAAGUCCAGUAAUGGAUUCAGCUAACCGAUACUAAUUGCCCGUGCGGCUUGGCCAUAUAACACCCAAGCAG
rnacentral:rRNA from 1 species